rnacentral:rRNA from 1 species
CCCUUAGAUGUUCUGGGCCGCACGCGCGCUACACUGACUGGUGCAACGAGUGAUUGACCUUGUCCGAUAGGACUGGGUAAUCUGUGAACGCCAGUCGUGAUGGGGAUAGAUUCUUGGAAUUAUUAAUCUUCAACGAGGAAUUCCUAGUAAACGCAAGUCAUCAGCUUGCAUUGAUUACGUCCCUGCCCUUUGUACACACCGCCCGUCGCACCUACCGAUUGAACGGUCCGGUGAAAUCUUGGGAUUUGCAUGUUGUUGAUUGAUUUCAUGGCGUGCGAAGAACUUGAGUAAACCUUACCGUUUAGAGGAAGGUGAAGUCGUAACA